GACGAACGCUGGCGGCGUGCCUAAUACAUGCAAGUAGAACGCUGAAGAGAGGAGCUUGCUCUUCUUGGAUGAGUUGCGAACGGGUGAGUAACGCGUAGGUAACCUGCCUUGUAGCGGGGGAUAACUAUUGGAAACGAUAGCUAAUACCGCAUAACAAUGGAUGACACAUGUCAUUUAUUUGAAAGGGGCAAUUGCUCCACUACAAGAUGGACCUGCGUUGUAUUAGCUAGUAGGUGAGGUAAUGGCUCACCUAGGCGACGAUACAUAGCCGACCUGAGAGGGUGAUCGGCCACACUGGGACUGAGACACGGCCCAGACUCCUACGGGAGGCAGCAGUAGGGAAUCUUCGGCAAUGGGGGCAACCCUGACCGAGCAACGCCGCGUGAGUGAAGAAGGUUUUCGGAUCGUAAAGCUCUGUUGUAAGUCAAGAACGGGUGUGAGAGUGGAAAGUUCACACUGUGACGGUAGCUUACCAGAAAGGGGCGGCUAACUACGUG
rnacentral:rRNA from 1 species